UGGGGAAUAUUGCACAAUGGGCGCAAGCCUGAUGCAGCCAUGCCGCGUGUGUGAAGAAGGCCUUCGGGUUGUAAAGCACUUUCAGCGAGGAGGAAGGGUAGUGUGUUAAUAGCACAUUGCAUUGACGUUACUCGCAGAAGAAGCACCGGCUAACUCCGUGCCAGCAGCCGCGGUAAUACGGAGGGUGCAAGCGGUAAUCGGAAUUACUGGGCGUAAAGCGCACGCAGGCGGUUUGUUAAGUCAGAUGUGAAAUCCCCGCGCUUAACGUGGGAACUGCAUUUGAAACUGGCAAGCUAGAGUCUUGUAGAGGGGGGUAGAAUUCCAGGUGUAGCGGUGAAAUGCGUAGAGAUCUGGAGGAAUACCGGUGGCGAAGGCGGCCCCCUGGACAAAGACUGACGCUCAGGUGCGAAAGCGUGGGGAGCAAACA
rnacentral:rRNA from 1 species